rnacentral:lncRNA from 1 species
GACAGUGGCCACAAGGAGCAAGAGUAGCUUGCCAGCUCCUUCUCUUUGAAGGCUGGCCGUUAUGUUCCAGUGUCACAGCUGAGGCUGUGUGUAUGUGACUUCCUGCCUGGCUUUGGAUGAACUGGGAUGUGCAGCAGGCACAAUGUGCUCAUCUUCUGAUGCCUUAAAUGCUGGAAGUCUUCAUACAUUCAGAAUGCAGACCACAGUGGCCUCUUCUUGGGCAUCCCCAAAGCUGUGCUCUCCUGCUGAGUUUGAUUUUGGGGGUAAUGCAUAACUUGUUCUUGUUCUUGCUGUGCUGGCUGGAUUAAUCAAACCCCUCUGGGAAGUUCUGCCUUCAUUCCCUGCAGUAAAAACUCGACUGAGCAAUACUGGACAUGUCCAUCAGAGCUCACCAGCCUACCCCUUGCAACGUGUGCAUCUCCCAGACUGCUCUCAGAUCUAUGUGCACAAGCUGUAUGAGAAGCUCCAGUGCCACUGCUUCCCAACUCAAGGUCUGGACCAUUUCAGAAGGAAAAAGUGCCACAGAAGAACUUUCUGUCUGUUCUGAGGCCAAGAGUAGGAGCAUGGCUCAGAGAAGAGUCCGGGCACAACGGAGAAGACAGGAUGGUCUGCAAGGGCAAGUCCUGAUUUCUGCACCAAAAAACGGUUCUGCAAGCUUAGCCUAAUUGCACCGAGUGUUGGCAGCAUGUCAGUGCUGUAGAAAAUCAGGAGAGGUUAAGAUCUUGUUAAUUUGUACACACACAAGGGGAUCGGGAAGGA